rnacentral:tRNA from 1 species
GCGCCUUUAGUUUAAUGGCGAAGCAGUCCGGCUCAUAACCGGCCAUAUGAUGGUCCGAGUCCAUCAGGGCAUACCA